rnacentral:lncRNA from 1 species
UAAGGUUGUCCCCUUCUUUCCUUGUUUCCUAUCACCUACCAUGGCCAAGGGAAAGUUUUUGAUUUGAUCAUGCUUAUUCUUUUAUAUUAGGCUUAAUGCAACCCCUUAAGAGUGACUUGCUCCAUUUUAAGCAUUUUUAUUUAGCAGCACUUUUUAUCCUUGCCUGAAAAAGUCACCAACCUUUUUACGCGAUGGUGCAUAUGGGUGAUACACCCCCGGUUACUCAGUUGGUCACUUGUCCAAGUGGCUACUAGCUCUGUUCAUAAUCUUAGACCAUCGAAACUUAUUUUUGCUUGAAAAAGUCACCAACCUUUUUACGCGAUGGUGCAUAUGGGUGAUACACCCCCGGUUACUCAGUUGGUCACUUGUCCAAGUGACUAUUAGCUCAGUUCAUAGUCUUAGAUCAUCGAAACAGGUUGUGUUUUGUGCUUUUUGAAUUGCUGAGUUUUUUCUUUUUCUUUUUCCUUUUCAUA